rnacentral:rRNA from 1 species
AGAGUUCGAUCCUGGCUCAGGAUGAACGCUGGCGGCGCGCCUAACACAUGCAAGUCGAACGGCACCCCUCUUCGGAGGGAAGCGAGUGGCGAACGGCUGAGUAACACGUGGAGAACCUGCCCCCUCCCCCGGGAUAGCCGCCCGAAAGGACGGGUAAUACCGGAUACCCCGGGGUGCCGCAUGGCACCCCGGCUAAAGCCCCGACGGGAGGGGAUGGCUCCGCGGCCCAUCAGGUAGACGGCGGGGUGACGGCCCACCGUGCCGACAACGGGUAGCCGGGUUGAGAGACCGACCGGCCAGAUUGGGACUGAGACACGGCCCAGACUCCUACGGGAGGCAGCAGUGGGGAAUCUUGCGCAAUGGGGGCAACCCUGACGCAGCGACGCCGCGUGGGGGACGAAGGCCUUCGGGUCGUAAACCGCUUUCAGCAGGGAAGAGAAGAGACUGUACCUGCAGAAGAAGCCCCGGCUAACUACGUGCCAGCAGCCGCGGUAAUACGUAGGGGGCGAGCGUUAUCCGGAUUCAUUGGGCGUAAAGCGCGCGUAGGCGGCCCGGCAGGCCGGGGGUCGAAGCGGGGGGCUCAACCCCCCGAAGCCCCCGGAACCUCCGCGGCUUGGGUCCGGUAGGGGAGGGUGGAACACCCGGUGUAGCGGUGGAAUGCGCAGAUAUCGGGAAGAACACCGAUGGCGAAGGCAGAUCUCUGGGCCGUAACUGACGCUGAGGCGCGAAAGCUAGGGGAGCGAACAGGAUUAGAUACCCUUGUAGUCCAGAAGUGUUAGUAACCGC